rnacentral:rRNA from 1 species
UGAGCAAUCUGCCCUUCUCAUCGGAAUAAGCGUUGGAAACGACGUCUAAUGCCGAAUACGACCUCCUUUCGCAUGAUCGGAGGUGGAAAGCUACGGCGGAGAAGGAUGAGCUCGCGGCCUAUCAGCUAGUUGGUGUGGGUAAUGGCCCACAAGGCGACGACGGGUAGCCGGCCUGGAGAGGGUGACCCGGCCACACGUGGGACUGAGGCACGGCCCAGACUCCGUGGNGGAG